UACGUGGGGGGCAAGCGUUGUUCGGAAUUACUGGGCGUAAAGGGCUCGUAGGUGGCCAACUAAGUCAGACGUGAAAUCCCUCGGCUUAACCGGGGAACUGCGUCUGAGACUGGAUGGCUUGAGUUUGGGAGAGGGAUGCGGAAUUCCAGGUGUAGCGGUGAAAUGCGUAGAUAUCUGGAGGAACACCGGUGGCGAAGGCGGCAUCCUGGACCAAUACUGACACUGAGGAGCGAAAGCCAGGGGAGCAAACGGG
rnacentral:rRNA from 1 species